CCGAGUUAUACAACUCCCAAACCCCUGUGAACUUACCUACAACGUUGCUUCGGCGGGAAACCGACGGCCCCGUGAAACGGGCCGCCCCCGCCAGAGGACCCCCUAACUCUUGUUAUCCAUGCUUCUCUGAGUAAAACAAGCAAAUAAAUUAAAACUUUCAACAACGGAUCUCUUGGCUCUGGCAUCGAUGAAGAACGCAGCGAAAUGCGAUAAGUAAUGUGAAUUGCAGAAUUCAGUGAAUCAUCGAAUCUUUGAACGCACAUUGCGCCCGCCAGUAUUCUGGCGGGCAUGCCUGUCCGAGCGUCAUUACAACCCUCAGGCCCCCGGGCCUGGUGUUGGGGAUCGGCCGAGCCCUCCGGGGCAGACGCCGUCCCCCAAAUUCAGUGGCGGUCUCGCUGCAGCCUCCAUUGCGUAGUAGCUAACACCUCGCAACUGGAACGCGGCGCGGCCAUGCCGUAAAACCCCCAACUUCUGAAUGGGAUUGCCCUAGUAACGGCGAGUGAAGCGGCAACAGCUCAAAUUUGAAAUCUGGCUCUCGGGCCCGAGUUGUAAUUUGUAGAGGAUGCUUUUGGUGCGGUGCCUUCCGAGUUCCCUGGAACGGGACGCCAUAGAGGGUGAGAGCCCCGUCUGGUUGGAUGCCAAUCCUCUGUAAAGCUCCUUCGACGAGUCGAGUAGUUUGGGAAUGCUGCUCUAAAUGGGAGGUAUAUGUCUUCUAAAGCUAAAUACCGGCCAGAGACCGAUAGCGCACAAGUAGAGUGAUCGAAAGAUGAAAAGAACUUUGAAAAGAGAGUUAAAAAGUACGUGAAAUUGUUGAAAGGGAAGCGCUUGUGACCAGACUUGGGCUUGGUUGAUCAUCCAGGGUUCUCCCUGGUGCACUCUUCCGGCUCAGGCCAGCAUCAGUUUGCCCCGGGGGAUAAAGGCGUCGGGAAUGUGGCUCCCUCCGGGGAGUGUUAU
rnacentral:rRNA from 1 species